AUUCUCGCGCGCAUCGCAAAUGGAGCGCGUACCGUUCGGCCUACAUAUGGACGAGGCUUUUUAUAAUUGCUAUACUGCACACAGCUGCUGACUCGCGACGAUUAAUCUGCGGCGCUCGUUUAUACUUUUCUCAUUUCCGUUCCAGGCCCCGUUCUCGCCGCCCUUAUCGAUCGGCAAGGCUGCUGCCGAACGAUGUAUACAGCUACGAUCGUCUAGGUGAGCGAGUGGAUUGUGAUUCGAGUGUGUGCUGAGGCAUAUGUAUAGAGGGAACCAAGAACGGCGUCGGCGUCGGCGUCGGUGUCGGUUCUCUCGACACUCGAACGCUCGUAAAGCGAUUCACCCAGUUUCACGUAAUUGCGAGUGUGUGAGCUGCUGCUGAAGCCAUUUGCUUCUUUUGGGGUCGAACAGCCGAGGUCAUAGAGCGUGCGGUUUUGCUGAGUCCAAGGCACGCUUGAUUAAAUUAAUUAUGCGCCCGGGAGGAUGCUGAGAUUCCGAGAUUGUUCAAUCUUGUGCGCGACGAUAUGGCGCUGGGAAAGACGGAAACCUGAUUGGAGCGACGAGAUCGGGACCGACGACGACGGGGCGGUCUCGAUGUUCGACAGGUGCGGUCUUGCGAGAUGGUGAUUAUAUCGUCGGCAUAACACGAUGAUAACUCCAUCGCGGAGAUUUUACGCAACGAUAUCGACUUUAAUAAGCAGAGAUAUAUAAACGAUUCUCUGGAGAAUGUUACGUAAAUUUUCCACUACGGAAACGCGGCACAGAAAAACAACAACCGCCGCAGCUCGAGACCGAAAAUACACACGUUCGAUCGUUCCGAAAUAACGUUUUAAUCAAGCGUGCAGCCGAGCGACCAACUGACCGGCUCUCCCUCCAAGCUAAUCAAACAAGCCGCAUCGCAGAAAUCUGAAACAAGAAUCGAGCGAAAAAUCAACGCUGAAUAAGCAUCAUCCCUCCGUGCAUCAUCAGAGGCUGCAGCCAGCCGCCUACCUCGCGGUGAAAGCGUCUCUUGGAUUGGAGUUUUUUUCCAGGUGCCUCCUAUCGCUCCAGGGAUUCUACCGGGCCAAUGGAAUUCGAAAAAUGACAAUACCAUCUCGUCCCGCUACUUGUUCUCCGACUCGCCGUCCGGCCCAACACUCGACGCUUCGGCCUACGCCCAUUGAGCCGUCAUCGGAUGCCGGCCGCCAGCGGAGAGAAAAUUUCUUAUACACAUACCGUUUCUCUUUUUUUCUCUCUCUCUCUCAGACCCAUCGGUCUCCUUUUUUUUAUACACUGUCUUGCGAUGCUAUUUUCGCUGUCCAGACGAACAGUAGCGCAGCCCCCGCGAAUAUACAAGCGAGCGCAAAGUUCGAAAAUACCCUCGACGCCUCUGUGUACGCUUUUUUUUGCUUCCAGCAGUCCUUUUCCUUUUAGCCUCGAACUCGCCGGAUUAUACGCAGACGGCGCGCAUACAUACGAAUGGCAGCGGCGGCGAGAAGCCGGGGCCAAUCGUGCGUGGCAGGAAUAAAUGAGCGGCGGUAUAUAGUAUCGAAUCCACUCUCGAGACGAGAUUGUAGCAGCAGCGCCGACGGAACGACGGCUAUACCGAGAGCUCUCUGCUCUCUCUCUCUCUCUCUCUCUCUCUCUCUCUCUCUCUCUCUCUCUCUCUUUCUCUCUCACUGUGCGAUCGAGUCUCUCGCAAACAUUUUAGCCCCGAGUGAGAGAGAAAGAGAGCAAUCUUGCCUAGAUAUUACUGUGCAGCCAACAACGGAGCGCGUUAUUGAAUAUUUCUCGAUAUUUCCAAUAAAGCCCGCCGGCGGAGAGCCGAUCGUCCAUAAGGCGAGUGCUGUUUCUCGCAAAUUGCCCACUUUGACGCCGGAGAUAUUUUGUAUUAGGCGAAUUUCGUAAUUGCUCGCGCGGGUACAAGCACACACGUCGGUGUGGACCUCUGCUUGUUACGAGGACUAUGUUUUAUGUAUGUACCUUGCAGCAGGAGGUUGUAAUAAAGAAGACUAAUCAGGAGGGAAAAUGUUGUUGCUGUGUGUUCGAACGCGAAAGCUGUUGAUAAAUAUGCAAACCGACUGCGUUAAUUGUGUACACACGCUCGUUUGAAUUGUUGUCAAUAAAACGCAUACACCCACGUCCUAAUUUCUCCUUCGUCAUUUUCCAGAAUCGAGGAAGUAUAAGGGGGAUUUUUAUUCCGCGAGAAGCGAACGACGCAGCAGAGUCGAAGUAACGAAUUGCGUUUUCUCAACUCCGAUUUUUCCUCCCGGCUUUAUUUUCUAAGAAUUUUCUCUAUUUCUAAAUAAAUAAAACGAAACGCAAAGAAUAAGAAUAGAG